UGCAUUUCUGCAUUUGUAUGAGUGCGUGCAUGACAGAUCAGGUCAGCGGUUCUCCCUAACUAACUGCAGUGCUCUGUUCUGCCCUCUAUAUCAGGACUGCCCAACACUCUUCCUGGAGAUCUACUGUCCUGUAGGUUUGGACUGAUAACCUAAAGGACAGUAGAUCUCCAGGAAGGGGGUUUGACUGAAAACCUACAGGACAGUAGAUCUCCGGGAAUAGGGAUGGACUGAUAACCUACAGGACAGUAGAUCUCCAGGAAGGGGGUUGGACUGAUAACCUACAGGACAGUAGAUCUCCAGGAAGAGGGAUGGACUGAUAACCUACAGGACAGUAGAUCUCCAUGAAGAGGGUUGGACUGAUAACCUAAAGGACAGUAGAUCUCCAGGAAGGGGGUUUGACUGAAAACCUACAGGACAGUAGAUCUCCGGGAAUAGGGAUGGACUGAUAACCUACAGGACAGUAGAUCUUCAGGAAGAGGGAUGGACUGAUAACCUACAGGACAGUAGAUCUCCAGGAAGAGGGAUGGACUGAUAACCCACAGGACCAUAGAUCUCCAGGAAGAGGGUUGGACUGAUAACCUACAGGACAGUAGAUCUCCAGGAAGAGGGACUGAUAACCCACAGGACCAUAGAUCUCCAGGAAGAGGGAUGGACUGAAAACCCACAGGAAAAUAGAUCUCCAGGAAGAGGGUUGGACUGAAAACCUAAAGGACAGUAGAUCUCCAGGAAGAAGGAUGGACUGAUAAUCUACAGGACAGUAGAUCUCCAGGAAGAGGGGUGGACUGAUAACCUAAAGGACAGUAGAUCUCCAGGAAGAGGGUUGGACUGAUAACCUAAAGGACAAUAGAUCUCCAGGAAGAGGGAUGGACUGAUAACCUAAAGGACAGUAGAUCUCCAGGAAGAGGGUUGGACUGAUAACCUACAGGACAGUAGAUCUCCAGGAAGAGGGUUGGACUAAUAACCUACAGGACAAUAGAUCUCCAGGAAGAGGGAUGGACUGAUAACCUACAGGACAGUAGAUCUCCAGGACGAGGAUUGGACUGAUAACCUACAGGACAAUAGAUCUCCAGGAAGAGGGAUGGACUGAUAACCUACAGGACAGUAGAUCUCCAGGACGAGGAUUGGACUGAUAACCUACAGGACAAUAGAUCUCCAGGAAGAGGGAUGGACUGAUAACCUAAAGGACAGUAGAUCUCCAGGAAGAGGGCAGCGCUGGUCUACAGCAUGUUUCCCCUCCUCACCUCCACCGCAGGCACGAUGAUGUACUCUGUUCUGUCUGGCAGCCAUGCUGGAUAUAAUUAGCCCUUUUAAACAUCAUCUGGUUUGGCUGAAACUUAAGAAGAAGUCUCUAAGUGGUAUUCUAACGUGUUGAGUAAAGCUUGAAAUGCUCUUCAGCUGUUUCAUUAAUUAAUUCAGCCCUGGAGUGCUUCCUUGUGCUGCAUUACCAGAGAUAAGGUUGACUUUUCCUCCGCUGAAAUAAAUCAAGGGAAGGUCACUGUAAUACUGUGGAAGCAGAAGAAAGGCAUCAAACUGUGUGAGUCGGUGGGAUUCUGACUCUGAUUCUGACUAAAUUUGAGUUUUGGAUGAACUCAAAUGAGUAUAUGCCUCUGUCUCCUAUAGGUUGAGUUGUGUAGGAGGACAGUAUAUUUCUCUGUCUCCUAUAGGUUGAGUUGUGUAGGACAGUAUACUUCUCUGUCUCCUAUAGGUUGAGUUGUGUAGGUUCUCUGUCUGCUAUAGGUUGAGUUGUGUAGGAGGACAGUAUACUUCUCUGUCUCCUAUAGGUUGAGUUGUGUAGGUUCUCUGUCUGCUAUAGGUUGAGUUGUGUAGGAGGACAGUAUACUUCUCUGUCUCCUAUAGGUUGAGUUGUGUAGGACAGUAUAUUUCUCUGUCUGCUAUAGGUUGAGUUGUGUAGGACAGUAUAUUUCUCUGUCUGCUAUAGGUUGAGUUGUGUAGGACAGUAUAUUUCUCUGUCUGCUAUAGGUUGAGUUGUGUAGGACAGUAUAUUUCUCUGUCUGCUAUAGGUUGAGUUGUGUAGGACAGUAUAUUUCUCUGUCUGCUAUAGGUUGAGUUGUGUAGGUUCUCUGUCUCCUAUAGGUUGAGUUGUGUAGGACAGUAUAUUUCUCUGUCUGCUAUAGGUUGAGUUGUGUAGGUUCUCUGUCUGCUAUAGGUUGAGUUGUGUAGGAGGACAGUAUAUUUCUCUGUCUCCUAUAGGUUGAGUUGUGUAGGAGGACAGUAUACUUCUCUGUCUCCUAUAGGUUGAGUUGUGUAGGAGGACAGUAUACUUCUCUGUCUCCUAUAGGUUGAGUUGUGUAGGACAGUAUAUUACUCUGUCUGCUAUAGGUUGAGUUGUGUAGGAGGACAGUAUAUUUCUCUGUCUGCUAUAGGUUGAGUUGUGUAGGAGGACAGUAUAUUACUCUGUCUGCUAUAGGUUGAGUUGUGUAGGAGGACAGUAUAUUACUCUGUCUGCUAUAGGUUGAGUUGUGUAGGACAGUAUAUUACUCUGUCUGCUAUAGGUUGAGUUGUGUAGGACAGUAUAUUACUCUGUCUGCUAUAGGUUGAGUUGUGUAGGACAGUAUAUUACUCUGUCUGCUAUAGGUUGAGUUGUGUAGGAGGACAGUAUAUUUCUCUGUCUGCUAUAGGUUGAGUUGUGUAGGAGGACAGUAUAUUUCUCUGUCUCCUAUAGGUUGAGUUGUGUAGGAGGACAGUAUAUUUCUCUGUCUCCUAUAGGUUGAGUUGUGUAGGAGGACAGUAUACUUCUCUGUCUCCUAUAGGUUGAGUUGUGUAGGAGGACAGUAUAUUUCUCUGUCUCCUAUAGGUUGAGUUGUGUAGGACAGUAUACUUCUCUGUCUCCUAUAGGUUGAGUUGUGUAGGUUCUCUGUCUGCUAUAGGUUGAGUUGUGUAGGAGGACAGUAUACUUCUCUGUCUCCUAUAGGUUGAGUUGUGUAGGUUCUCUGUCUGCUAUAGGUUGAGUUGUGUAGGAGGACAGUAUACUUCUCUGUCUCCUAUAGGUUGAGUUGUGUAGGACAGUAUAUUUCUCUGUCUGCUAUAGGUUGAGUUGUGUAGGACAGUAUAUUUCUCUGUCUGCUAUAGGUUGAGUUGUGUAGGACAGUAUAUUUCUCUGUCUGCUAUAGGUUGAGUUGUGUAGGACAGUAUAUUUCUCUGUCUGCUAUAGGUUGAGUUGUGUAGGUUCUCUGUCUCCUAUAGGUUGAGUUGUGUAGGAGGACAGUAUAUUUCUCUGUCUCCUAUAGGUUGAGUUGUGUAGGAGGACAGUAUAUUUCUCUGUCUCCUAUAGGUUGAGUUGUGUAGGAGGACAGUAUAUUUCUCUGUCUGCUAUAGGUUGAGUUGUGUAGGAGGACAGUAUAUUUCUCUGUCUCCUAUAGGUUGAGUUGUGUAGGAGGACAGUAUAUUUCUCUGUCUGCUAUAGGUUGAGUUGUGUAGGACAGUAUAUUUCUCUGUCUGCUAUAGGUUGAGUUGUGGAGGUGGACAGUAUAUUUCUCUGUCUGCUAUAGGUUGAGUUGUGUAGGAGGACAGUAUAUUUCUCUGUCUGCUAUAGGUUGAGUUGUGUAGGUUCUCUGUCUGCUAUAGGUUGAGUUGUGUAGGAGGACAGUAUAUUUCUCUGUCUGCUAUAGGUUGAGUUGUGUAGGUUCUCUGUCUGCUAUAGGUUGAGUUGUGUAGGAAUACAGUCUUUCUCAUCAUAUAUAUGGGCUGCUUAAGGCCUCUCUGCAUAUGUAGAAUUGGAUUUAUUAUUCCCCAACUUCCCGAUUCUAC